AAAUCUCAAUGCUUCCCCUACCAAAGCAUUCGCCCGAGAACUACGAGCACAAACGCUUAAAACUCUAAGGACUUGGCGGUGCCCCAAACCCACCUAGAGGAGCCUGUUCUA
rnacentral:rRNA from 1 species